UACGGGGGAUGCAAGCGUUAUCCGGAAUCAUUGGGCGUAAAGCGUCUGUAGGUUGUUUAAUAAGUCUGUUGUUAAAGACUAGGGCCCAACCCUAGAAAAGCAAUGGAAACUACUAGACUUGAGUAUGGCAGGGGUAGAGGGAAUUUCUAGUGUAGCGGUGAAAUGCGUAGAUAUUAGAAAGAACACCAGCGGCGAAAGCGCUCUACUGGACCAUUACUGACACUCAGAGGCGAAAGCUAGGGUAGCAAAAGGGAUUAGAUACCCCUGUAGUCCCAGCCGUAAACGAUGGAUACUAGAUGUUGUGCUUCAUGUACAGUAUCGUAGCUAACGCGUUAAGUAUCCCGCCUGGGGAGUACGCUCGCAAGGGUG
rnacentral:rRNA from 1 species